CCCUAUCGUCCCUCGCGUGUCGCUGCCUCUACGCCUCCUCCGGUCGCGCCGCCCGCCGCCUCUCCCUUCUCCUCCCGUCACGCCGCCCUGCGCCGUGCGAGGUGGCUAGGGCGCCGCCGUCCUUCACGCCAGCGCUGGACCGGCCUCCCUUCUCCCCACUCUCCCGUGAUACUCAUCUCCCUCAAUCCCCUUCCAAACUGCUCCUCCCCAAUCCCCUGCAUCCACUCCAUCUCCAGCAAGCCGCCAUCGGCCGCGUCCUCUUGCUCGCGCAGCUCUAGCCCUCCUCGCGCGUGCCUCCCUGAUGAUGAAGACAACCACAACCUCCCGCGCUGCUCCCCGAGCAGCGAGCUCGUCAUGGCAGCGAGCGGUCAGCCGGCGGCCGAGAAGGACGAGAGCUGGGAAGGUUGAACGCUGCCGUUGGGAGCGGGCGGUUCAUCAGGAGUGAAGAUGAUGGUGGCAGUGGAGGAAAAGAAAUGGCAGGGGUGGCAGCUACAAGGUAGAGGUUGUUUCUAAGUUGCUCGUCAUGGUGUUAGUUUUCCCAUAAUUCUAUCAUGUCUAUCUACUAUUUCUAAUUGCAGGGAUUAUGGUUAGUGAGCCUUUGAUGACAAGGCAAACUUAUUAUCCUUUUCUCUUCUGGUUGUUCCUUUUCUAUAGCGUUCUGCGUUUAUAUAGAUACUCUGCCAUUUGGGAUUGAGUAGGAAGAAGAUAAAUCUGGAAGCCAUUUUGCCACUGAAAGAUUAGAUAAACCAUGUAUAUUUGGUGAGGUGCUCAAAUCAAUUACUGAAAUUUUAUUUGCUAAAUUUUACAUGCUGCGAUAUUGGUCUGUGACAACUCUUAAUUAUCGUGAGGGUGAUGACGCAGGAUAAUCCUCCUGAUUCAUAGGGUCGCAGCCAUCGACAGAGAUCAAGGUUCCCAGGAGACUUUGGCCGAGAAGCAGGCAUCGGGAGGGGUCGAGCUAUUAUUGAGAGGAAAGAGUGGUAGAUUGUGUUGAUUUUGCUAGCAUUAGCCAUCGAUAGAUAUCAAGGUUCCCAUGAGACUUCGUCCGAGAGGCAGCAGCGGGAGGGUCGAGCUAUUGUUCAGAUGAAAGAGUGGUAAUUUUAUGUCAGAUCUUAAAGUUGGCAGUAGACUGGUUAGCUCCACCUCUUUUAUUUUUAUUUAUGCUUGUGUUCAUUUUGUUGGUAUUAGGCUAGCUAGCUACUCUGUUUCUGUACCUAUAUAGGUAGAUUUGAUUCGUAGUACCAUCAUUUGCAUCUUAUAUUGAGUGCUAAAUCUCAAUUCUGGUUGUGUGUUCUUCGUUAAGAACA